rnacentral:tRNA from 1 species
GGAAGAGUUUGCUGGUCUGGUGACCGCCACGGUCUUCAAAACCGUUGAGUGGUGUUAACGCAUCACUGGUGGGUUCGAUUCCCAUCCUCUUCCG